UCCGCUCGCGCCGGCGGGGCCGCAGGCAGAGCCCGGCGCUUCCUCAUCCACCCGCCGCCAGGCGGGGCAGGAACUGCCGAGCCGGGGAGCUGCCCGCGCCGCCGCAGGAUAAAGACUUCGAGAACUACGUGUUCCUUACGGUAUCUAAGCCUCUGUCAUACUGAACAGUCCCAGGAUUGGGAGUGGCUUGCUUGGACCUUGGCUGCAUCAUCCAGAGAUGGAAAUCUCCAGUGUGAAACAGCUGAUGUCUUGAAGUGUCUGGUGAAUGAAACACGAAGGCUUCUGACGCAGUUACGGUGUUACACCAGUUGUUUCGUCUGUCUACUUCCAGCUCUGCCUACGUGAAGGAGGCCUUCUUGUGAGAUGCUGAGAUACUGAAGAGAAAAAUGUCAGAUACAGAACUAUACUUUUCUCUUAAAAAAAAACCAACCCCCCCCAAAAAAAACUACAACAACAAAACAAAUACAAAAAGCGUGUUUGUAUACAACUUACUACAGGGUCUACCUGUACUUCAUGGUUAUUUAUAUGAACUUCAUGUAAAUAAUUGUAAAGGAAAAGGCAUAAUUUUUUUGUCUUCACUACCUUCAAUUUAGCACUGUAAGUUAAAUCACUAAAUAUAAAGUAGCUUGUUAUAUCAGUGGCAGCCUCGGGGGGACCUGGGUAGUAUUAAUGAUAUGUGAUAAGAGAAUAAUGCUGCAGUCCUUAUCAAGCAAGUGUUCAAGGUCUGUUUUAGAGACGAUUAGGCUAGAAGAUACCGCAUGCCAAUGGAAAAAUUAAGAAGAGCCUAAUAACUAGUCAUUUGAGUAACUCUUUACAGAGUGACAUGCUUAAAUCAAGGUGUCUGGAAUAACUGUUAAUACGCACCGUUGUUUUCUAUCUCCUCUUGCAUUUUCUGCUUAAAUUAUAGUAAAAAUAGCUUUUUUUCCCCUGCUAAAAUGUUUGUAGCACAGCAAUGUUUAGCAACUGCUCUAUUUCUUUUGGCAGUUGGAGUUGCUAACUAUCUCUGUUAGUGUGACACUUUCAGAGCCUUUUGGAUAAGGUUUUAGCACAUACACGAAACUAUUAAUGCACAAUAGUUUGUUUAGUGUCUUCUACAGCCUCGAUCUGGCAAUUGAUUCUCUUCUGAUCACUGAAGCUGGUGCAUGGUUGAAUGCUGCAGGGUAUCUGGAAGCGACCGUCUACUCAUCUGCCCCUGCUCCGUGCAUCUCGCAGACCUGGAGAAGGGAAGGUCAGGACGCAUUGUUGGUAUCUGCCUGAAGAUCAUGUUUUUCUCCAGUGUAUCUGUGGGAAUGUUCAGCAUGAUCGCGAACGGAGGAGGCUGUCUCUCAGCAAGGGUAUCCUCCUUGAGACGCUUCAUCUAGGAUUUUAAGCAGCAUGGUGCAGACAUGAAAACAACCCUGAGAGAAGCAGGAUAACAGAAGACAAAGAGGAGACUUCUGAAAGGAUUUCUGACUGCUCUGACCUCGGGUCAAACCCAGACGCUGACAGCAUCAGCAGGGCCAUGCAAGCAGACAUCCAGGAGGAGCUCUGUGUACCAUCUUCAAAGCACAUGGUGUUUUAUGGAGGUAUAAAAGGGACUUUAAUCCUAGUGACAUUGCCAAGAAUCUCUAAACUCUGAUAAUUUUAUUGGGAGUAGAUUCUCAUUCACAGUUCCUAAAGUCCUUGGUUUCUAAAAUGUUCUAAUUUAAGUCACUGGCUUACCAUUGUUUUCGAUGGGCUGGCAAAUAAGGGAUGGCAAAAAGACAUUUAAAAAAUGCAUAUUGCUCAGGCAAGCUGUUUCACAGCACUUAAGGAAGUCUCAUAUCCCUCCCUGAUUUAGAAAGCAUAAGUUUCAUUUUUAUCUAAGUGCAGUCAAAUAUCUAGCA